rnacentral:rRNA from 1 species
AUUGAACGCUGGCGGAAUGCUUUACACAUGCAAGUCGAACGGCAGCACGGGGGCAACCCUGGUGGCGAGUGGCGAACGGGUGAGUAAUACAUCGGAACGAGCCCGGUCGUGGGGGAUAACGUAGCGAAAGUUACGCUAAUACCGCAUACGAUCUGAGGAUGAAAGCGGGGGACCUUCGGGCCUCGCGCGAUCGGAGCGGCCGAUGUCAGAUUAGGUAGUUGGUGGGGUAAAGGCCUACCAAGCCGACGAUCUGUAGCUGGUCUGAGAGGACGACCAGCCACACUGGGACUGAGACACGGCCCAGACUCCUACGGGAGGCAGCAGUGGGGAAUUUUGGACAAUGGGCGCAAGCCUGAUCCAGCCAUUCCGCGUGCAGGACGAAGGCCUUCGGGUUGUAAACUGCUUUUGUAUGGAACGAAAAGGCUCUGGCUAAUACCUGGGGCUCAUGACGGUACCGUAAGAAUAAGCACCGGCUAACUACGUG